UACGUAGGGUGCAAGCGUUGUCCGGAAUUAUUGGGCGUAAAGAGCUCGUAGGCGGUUUGUCGCGUCGAAUGUGAAAACCCGGGGCUCAACCCCGGGCCUGCAUUCGAUACGGGCAGACUAGAGUUCGGUAGGGGAGUCUGGAAUUCCUGGUGUAGCGGUGAAAUGCGUAGAUAUCUGGAGGAACACCGGUGGCGAAGGCGGCAUCCUGGACCGACAUUGACGCUGAGGCGCGAAAGCCAGGGGAGCAAACGGG
rnacentral:rRNA from 1 species